CAGUCAGGCGUGAAAGCCUGAGCUCACCCGGAAUUGCGCUGAGACUGAUGUGCUCGAGUACGGAGAGGAUAGUGGAAUCCCAGUGUAGAGGUGAAAUCGUAGAUAUGAGAAGAACACCGGUGAGCGAAGCGACUAUCUGGACCGUAACUGACGCUGAGACGCGAAAGCGUGGAGAGCAAACAGGAUUAGAUACCCUGGUAGUCACGCCGUAAACGAUGAGUGCUAGACGUUGAGACCCUUAGGACUUCGGUGUCGCCGCUAACGCAUUAAGCACUCCGCCUGGGGAGUACGGCCGCAAGGUUAAAACUCAAAGGAAUUGACGGGAGCCCGCACAAGCGGUGGAGCAUGUGGUUCAAUUCGAAGCAACGCGCAGAACCUUACCAGCUCUUGACAUGGGACGUUUGGGUGCCGGAGACGGCAUUCUUCAGUUCGGCUGGCGUCCACACAGGUGCUGCAUGGCUGUCGUCAGCUCGUGUCGUGAGAUGUUGGGUUAAGUCCCGCAACGAGCGCAACCCUCAUCUUCAGUU
rnacentral:rRNA from 1 species